rnacentral:rRNA from 1 species
AUUGAACGCUGGCGGCAGGCCUAACACAUGCAAGUCGAACGGUAACAGGAAACAGCUUGCUGUUUCGCUGACGAGUGGCGGACGGGUGAGUAAUGUCUGGGAAACUUGGCUGAUGGAGGGGGAUAACUACUGGAAACGGUAGCUAAUACCGCAUAACGUCGCAAGACCAAAGAGGGGGACCUUCGGGCCUCUUGCCAUCGGAUGUGCCCAGAUGGGAUUAGCUAGUAGGUGGGGUAACGGCUCACCUAGGCGACGAUCCCUAGCUGGUCUGAGAGGAUGACCAGCCACACUGGAACUGAGACACGGUCCAGACUCCUACGGGAGGCAGCAGUGGGGAAUAUUGCACAAUGGGCGCAAGCCUGAUGCAGCCAUGCCGCGUGUAUGAAGAAGGCCUUCGGGUUGUAAAGUACUUUCAGCGGGGAGGA